rnacentral:rRNA from 1 species
UAUUGGACAAUGGGCGCAAGCCUGAUCCAGCCAUACCGCGUGGGUGAAGAAGGCCUUCGGGUUGUAAAGCCCUUUUGUUGGGAAAGAAAUCCAGCCGGCUAAUACCUGGUUGGGAUGACGGUACCCAAAGAAUAAGCACCGGCUAACUUCGUGCCAGCAGCCGCGGUAAUACGAAGGGUGCAAGCGUUACUCGGAAUUACUGGGCGUAAAGCGUGCGUAGGUGGUUGUUUAAGUCUGUUGUGAAAGCCCUGGGCUCAACCUGGGAACUGCAGUGGAAACUGGACAACUAGAGUGUGGUAGAGGGUAGCGGAAUUCCCGGUGUAGCAGUGAAAUGCGUAGAGAUCGGGAGGAACAUCCAUGGCGAAGGCAGCUACCUGGACCAACACUGACACUGAGGCACGAAA